rnacentral:rRNA from 1 species
GCCCUAGAUAAUAUCUAAGGUGUAACCUGCCCAGUGAUCUUUAAUUGAAACAAGAUAAAACCUUGACAAUAAGAUUAAAAGGACGCGGUAACCUUGACCGUGAUAAUGUAGCAUAAUCACUCGCCAUUUAAUUGAUGGAUAGUAUGAAUGGUUGAACGAAUAUUCCACUGUCUUAGAAAGAAUUAAUAGAAAUUGAAAUAGUAGUUAAGAUGCUAUUUAAAACUGUAAGACGAAAAGACCCUAUAGAGCUUAACUAUAAUCUUUUUAUUUACUAAAGAAAAAAUAUUUUUAAGAAUUAAAAAGAUUGGUAGUUUAGUUGGGGCGACUGCUUUCCAAAUUUAACGAAAGUAAGCAAUAUUAAUAUUUAAUUUAUUGUAUAGUUAAAAAACUUAACAAUUAUAAUUGUAGGCUAUAAUGACCCGUUUUUACUACAUAAGAAGAAAAACGAUCAAUUGAUAAAAGCUACCUUAGGGAUAACAGGAUAAUUUCAUUUUAGAGUUCCUAUCGAAAAUGAAGUUUGUCACCUCUAUGUUGAAUUAAGAUAUCCUGAUAAUGCAGAAGUUAUCAAAGGUAGGUCUGUUCGACCUUUAAAAUCUU